rnacentral:rRNA from 1 species
AACAAACGCUGGCGGCGUGCCUAACACAUGCAAGUCGUACGAGAAAGGGUCCUUCGGGGCCUGAGUAAAGUGGCGCACGGGUGAGUAACGCGUGAUAAUCUGCCCUUCAGUUGGGAAUAACUCAUCGAAAGGUGGGCUAAUACCGAAUAAUGCUGUGAGACCUCGGUUGAUCAGCCAAAGAGAGCCUCUGCUUGCAAGCCCUCGCUGAAGGAUGAGUCCGCGUACCAUUAGCUAGUUGGUAGGGUAAUGGCCUACCAAGGCGACGAUGGUUAGGUGGUGUGAGAGGAUGAUCAGCCACACUGGAACUGAGACACGGUCCAGACUCCUACGGGAGGCAGCAGGGAGGAAUCUUGCGCAAUGGGGGCAACCCUGACGCAGCAACGCCGCGUGAGUGAGGAAGGUCUUCGGAUCGUAAAGCUCUGUCGGAUGGAAAGAACCGCAUAGGGGUAAACAGCCCCUGUGUCUGACGGUACCAUCAAAGGAAGCACCGGCUAACUCCGUGCCAGCAGCCGCAGUAAGAC